GAUGAACGCUGGCGGCGUGCUUAACACAUGCAAGUCGAACGAAGCGCUUAAGAUUGAUUCUUCGGAUGACGUCUUUUGUGACUUAGUGGCGGACGGGUGAGUAACGCGUGGGUAACCUGCCUCACACAGGGGGAUAACAGUUAGAAAUGACUGCUAAUACCGCAUAACCCGAUAGGAUCGCAUGAUCCAGACGGAAAAGAUUUAUCGGUGUGAGAUGGACCCGCGUCUGAUUAGCUAGUUGGUGAGGUAACGGCCCACCAACGCGACGAUCAGUAGCCGGCCUGAGAGGGUGAACGGCCACAUUGGGACUGAGACACGGCCCAGACUCCUACGGGAGGCAGCAGUGGGGAAUAUUGCACAAUGGGGGAAACCCUGAUGCAGCGACGCCGCGUGAGUGAAGAAGUAUUUCGGUAUGUAAAGCUCUAUCAGCAGGGAAGAACAUGACGGUACCUGACUAAGAAGCCCCGGCUAACUACGUG
rnacentral:rRNA from 1 species